rnacentral:rRNA from 1 species
CACGUAGGGGGCGAGCGUUGUCCGGAUUUAUUGGGCGUAAAGAGCUCGUAGGCGGCUAGGUAAGUCGGGUGUGAAAUUUCGAGGCUUAACCUCGAAACGCCACCCGAUACUGCUGUGGCUAGAGUCCGGUAGGGGAGCGUGGAAUUCCUGGUGUAGCGGUGAAAUGCGCAGAUAUCAGGAGGAACACCAGCGGCGAAGGCGGCGCUCUGGGCCGGUACUGACGCUGAGGAGCGAAAGCGUGGGGAGCGAACAGG